ACUAAAAUAGCAGAAUAUAAUAAAGACAUGUUAUUAUUUUAUGUCUGUACAGUAGCAUUAGAACAUUAAAAUAUGUACGUCAAAUUGAACCACAAACAUUACCAAAGUAACAAAUUUAGUGCGUAUAUUUCAAAACACAUCAGCGUGUUGAAACUUUGCAUGCAUGUUCAUGACCUUAAAUGAGGAAAAAGUCAUAGAAUUUCAAGAAAAAACAAAACAUAACUGAUGUUUCCUACAACUCAAAAAAUCAAAAUAGGCCAAAUUGACCUGCAACAGUACACAAGGGUUAAAAUUAUUAUUCACAACUAAUCGAUCGUCUAUUAAUCGUCAGCAUCCCUAGUAUUAAGAUUCAAUCCUAUGUAAACUUCUGAACAGUGUCAUUUUUAUAAAUUCAGCCAUUAUUUUGUCUAGUGGACUAUAUGUAAACAUGUCUUAUGUGAGGUAGCAUAGGACAGUACUAAAUAUGAAAUAACAUCAAUCCCUCUCCACAUUUUUACAAAUUCUGCAGGGGUAUGUAAACUUUUGAGCACAAGUUGCACAACUGUACAUUAUCUCAUACUUUUAUUGCAGUACUGUAUUUUGUUAGUUUUGCAUUAUCAUUUGAGUAAUAUUUGAAAAUGUUUAAUGUCCAAUACAGGUGAAAUUAAUCGACCAUACGAGAUGUCCCAGGAGAAAUUUGAAGAUCUCAGUGAGAAACUGCACCAAAGCAUUGAGAAACUGAACUCAGAAUACAACAGAAAUCAUCAAACUCUCACAGAUCUAAUAAAGAAACUGAAUGACAUCACUGAUGAACUCGAAUCCAUGCACAAGAACACCACGAUGGGCAGUAUGGUAGGGGCGUCAAUAGGAGCAGUAGGAGGAAUUGCAUUGCUGGGUAUAGCUUUGGCCCCAUUUACAUUUGGUGCGUCUAUAGCUGUUACUGGUGCUACUGGUCUUACUGCUAUGGGUGUUGGAGUAGCUGGAGGAGUAAUAGGGGCAGCAUCUAACAUCACUAACAUGUUCAAGCAGAGCAACAUGCGCCAGACUAUUGAGAAGAUCAUCAAUGAUUUCCAGAACACCAUCAACCCAAUGAUUCAGCAUCUGAAUACAAUUUCUGAAACCAUAGAAAAGCUUGAGAAAAUCGAGCCAAUGCAUUCUCUUCAAAAUAAAACAUUACUGACAAGUGUGAAAGCCCUGAAAACCAUUUCAAGCGUUAAAAAACUUUUGUCUGUACUUCGAACUACUAAAAUUGGGAAAGUGUUCGCAAGAGCUACCAAAACACUUCAAGUGGUUGGGAAACUAUCUAUGACAAUUUCAGCUCUGUUUUUUGUUCUUGAUGUUUACACUAUUUAUUGUAAUUCAACAGAGCUCUCUGAAAUGAAAUCAGACAAAAAGAGAAAAGCAGAAGAAAUCAAAUCAGAAACUGUGAAAUUUAUUCAUCAAAUGAGAGAAACAGCAGCUCAAUUUCAGAAGACUCUGGAUGAAACUAAAUGUGCCAGAGACGCUAUUAACAGAGCUUCACAAAUCAGUCAAGAAGAUCAUUGAACUGCUCUGUGUGGUGUUGUCAAUUUACUGACUCUUUAAACUGAAAUCUUUAAAAACUUGGCAACAAAAUAAGGUUGAAUAUAUAUGUUUUUCAAUUAUUUUGUAACAUGUGACUAAUUAUUGUAGUCUUAAUAAUCCUUGUCUUUUUUCUUCUUUUUUUCUGGUUCUGUAUGAAAUUGGAUAAACUAUUUGCAAACAGUCUUUGUAUAAGCCACUUGCACUCGGGUUUAGAUCUGGUUAUAUCUUAUGACAUUCUAUGGACAACCAUUUUAUUUGCUGUUUUUGUUGUGCAUGUUACUGAUUUGUAAUGUAAAAACCAAAAUAAAAAAUCUAAUCUCAACCAA